GUGCAGGCGUGGGUGUGUGAACGCACCUUCGUCUCCUUUUUCGGGCACAUAGCUGGUGCUUCCUCCUUUCCCGUGCGUUGCGCUGGCGCGCACCUACGCACACACACACACACACACACGUGCGACAGAAGGGCGUCCCACCCCACCACCACCACCCUACACACCCAUACAGCAUACCUGUCAGCCAUGGCCACGGCCGCGGAUUACGUUGGCAAGAACUGCCCCUACUGCGGGGCCAUCGACAGCAUCGAAACGGACGAGGCGCGCGGUGAGGCUGCAUGUGUAAAUUGUGCUACCGUGGUGGCGAUGGGUCUCGAGGAGAACGUGGCAACGCGUUUCGAGAAGGACGCGACGUACGCGGACGUCGACCGCGGCGGCGACGUCGGCUGGGACCCUGAAAACGGCGGCGCCAUUGGCCGUGCGACGGCAAGGAAUGCAGGUUUGACCCGAGAGGAAGCGGCGGCCGCCGCUGCAGGCCUCUUGCGGCACCCCAACGCUGCCGCUUCGGCCUUUAGCGCGGGUCCGUUCGGCGACACAGCCAAGUACGCGAAGACCAAACUUCACCCGCGAAUGUCGGCUCAACUGGAGGUGUUCUUCCGUCUUUCUCGUCGCCAUGACGAGGCAAUCUUGCGCGACGCCAUUGCCUUGGCGAAGCACUUCGUCGGAUUUCGCCGAGAGCGUGGCAUGCGAGUUGAGCAUCAGACGGAGGUGGCGGCGGCGUCCGUGAUGUUGGCGGCCGAACGCCUGGGGCAGCCGAUCCCGUUGAGCGAGAUGCGCGUGUUGGAUGGGACGCUCAAGGAUGUGGAGUCCCGACGGCAAGAAAUCCUCGAUGCGACGAACCUGGGCGAGGAGAUGGCGCAGAUGGCGAAACACUACGCGCCGAAUCUGAUCCAUUACUACGUGCGGCUGCUGCAGCUGCCUCUCAUCCGCUACGAGAUGCCCUGCCUUGCCCUCUUCCGCGCGAUACGUCAGUGCGAAAGCAAGCCUGGCCCCGGCGCGUCGGAGCUGGCGGUGUUCGUGGAGGCGGAAAAGGUGGUCAUGGCAGUGUUGCUGGCGCGCACAGAGCCGCGGCUGCGGUGGCCAAACAAACCACCGCCGCCCGCCGACCCGAGCGCCGAGCCGUCACGCGCCACCUUGUACAGCGGCUUUGCGUCCAGCGCGCAUCUGCAGCCGGUGCGCGUGGAGAAGCUUAUGCGGGUGGCGGAGAGGGCGGUCCCGCUGAUCCGGCCCGAGUUUGAGCGGCUCAUGCAGACGCCAGAGUUCGCGAUGGCUGCCGUCCAUACCAUGGGUGAGGCUGUGGUGAGCAUGACCGUGAAGACGGAGGACACCAAGUCCUACGCACCAGUGAAAUCGGAGCCAAUACCGACCAGCGCGCCGUCGGCGCCAAACAUCGCUGGGGGUAACCGGAAGCGCAGUCGCAGCCGCUCCACUACUCCACAAGUACCACCGUCCUCGGCGUCGCAGGAGCGGUGAUGUGGAUGGUAUGGGAAAAGGGCGACGGUGCUCCUCGUUAUCGUCGUCUACAUGGCCAGUGGGCUGUGUCACCGCACGAAGAAGAGGAGAAAACGCGAAAAGGCGCGCGUGCCGUGGUUGUUUGGGGCACGUCGGCACUGCACAACAGAUUCCCGGUGCGGUAGUGAUGGGAAGAGCUCCUGGCGGAUUUCCCGUUUGCAAGGGCCAGGGGAGGGGGGGGCGGAUGAAGGGCCUCCCUUCCUCGGUGCAAGUCCCUUGACAGCUGGCGACGCCCUUGCGCGCUCUCCUAACGAAGGCCGCAUGCACGCGAUGAUGAACUCGUAAUGAGUGCAUCGCGACAACGGGCAGCAGCAGCACACAAGCACACACGAGAGUCACAAACGCCGGCCCUGCUCGCUUCUCCGCACCACCACCCCCUCACGCGCCUACGCCGGCCCCUUUCGAAGACGGGCCGCCGUUGUUUUUUUUUGCUUUUUGGCCCUGCCUCUUGAUCACAGGUCACGUCUCACCACACAGAG
rnacentral:misc_RNA from 1 species